CAAUAAAUUUCUGUUGUUUAUCUAUGCAAACAAAAACUAAAGACUUGGGUCUUCAGUCUCUUGCCGGACCAUACCCAUGCUCCAUGGAGUCAUUAACUAUUCCAGCUGAAUUUUUCCAACUAGUGUUCAGUUGGGUCUGCCCCAGGAUCGAGGCCAUCAAGCUACUGAUGGUCUUACGAAUGGAACCCCAAAUGAGCUCAACUAACAACUUCUACCGAGGACCCCCUGGACCAACCCACUGACCCUUUGGCUGGCCUAGAGAGUUCCCCUCUGGAGGACACUAACACUGCAGGGCCCCUUCUUCGCCCCUAUCCAGCAGUUACAGUCCUGAAGACUCCAGAACAAUAAUACUAUAUUACAAGAUUACUAGAAUGACAGGUGGACUUCCUGAGCCCUGAGAAGCCGUUUGAAUGAGGAUAAAGGCACAAACCCUUCACGUAUGAAGCACUUACUAUGGAGGUGAUGUUGUACUAACCUCCUAUGACUUCUUUACAACAAUCUAGAGGCGUAGGUAUUAUUUAGUAUUCCCAGUUUUCAGAUGCAGCAAGUUAGGUAAUUCAUUCUAGGUUGCACAGCUUUAUAGAGUGGAGUUGGAUUCAAAUUCAGGUUUCAUUUUUUUUUUCAUGGAAAUUAGAAUGAUCCUCAUUGUAAACAACAUAUAGGAACAUAUUUCUUAAACUCAAAUCUCUGAAUAAUUCUCACAAAAUGCCACUCGAAAGAGUUUUGUAGUUUAAGAAUAUGCUUCCAUAUAUUUGCUUAUAAUGUGAACUUUUCCCAGACAUUAUAUAAAGGGAGGCAAAUGAAGAAUUAAAUAGAACUUGGUGCUGCACAGGAAGACAGGCAUAUGUAGUAUUCUUGGACCUCUGCCGAGCUGCCUCCCAAAGUCACAAGAAUUCUUAGUCAAAAAUUGUAGACUUUCUGGAUGCUCAGGGAGUUAACCUAAAUGAAACCUGAACAUUUUAUUCCAUAAAGGCAUAAAAGCAAGUGAAUGAAAUGGGUCUGCACAGUUCUGGACCUGCAAGCACAAAAACAUGCUGCCUAGCACUUAGAAUUGACUUACCUCCUACUGGUGCAAGAAAAAGGGUUCCUUAUAGCAUUGCUUCUAAAAGCAAUAUCCUAUAGGCCAUUGUGACCUAAGGGAAGAGAAGUAGAGAGUCUGCUGUCUUCCAUGUGGCAAAAUGAGAUCUCCGAGUUACUUUCAGCAAGAGAAUGGUUACAGAAGCUUUCGCUCACAAUUGGCUACCGUUCAGCAAAAGUUUCCAGAAAAUAUCUUAAAGGAGGCAAAGAAAAUAGCCUAAGAAAACAGUGGGAAAUACAUCGUGACGUGGCAAACUGCACUCACGACUCAAUAACUUUUUAGCCUUUCCUCAAGGCAAAUAGUUCAAAAGAUUGCUUGCUAUUAUUUGUAGCUGCUGGGAUGUAGUUUCCCGCUUUGUGUGUCAUCACAGGUAGCGAUUGCCAAGAGGGAGAGUUAAAUAAAAUAACUUGUCAAAAGCUAAUGCAUGACUCAAGCAUGGAAAGUUCUAGGGAGUGAAAUUCCAGAAACAGAAAAUCUUCCCUUAGGGAAGACAUUUCCCAUCAGAUUUGCAGAGAUGUGACCCAAUAUUGAGUGUCUAAUAUAUGCUAGGUGCUUUAUAAAUAAAAUUUAACCCUUUUAAUUUAAUCUCACAACGGCCAUGGGAAUUACCCAUUAUCAUCACUUUACAUGUGAGAAAGCUAGGCUCAGAGGGUUUUACAAAAUUGCCAAGGUCACAGAGCCAGUUAAGUUACAGACAUGUUUUCUGCUCGUUUGUUUUUUUUAUUUUAAAACUUGUUUUGAGGUAUAAUGCUCAUUUAAUAAAGUCUAUAAACUGCACUAGUCUUAAAUGUACAACGAGUGAAUUUCUACAUGUGUAUAUGCUCAAGUAGUCACCAUCUUGUUCAAGAGUUAGAGGAGUAUUUUCACAUUGCAGGAAGUUCCUUCUUGCCCUUUUUUUAUUCAAAAUGCACACAAGAGGUACCCUCUAGUCUACUUCUAUAAACAUGGAUUAAUAAACAUGGAUUAAUU
rnacentral:lncRNA from 1 species